rnacentral:piRNA from 1 species
UGGGUUUUUACAAUUCUUCUU